UAGGGAAUCUUCGGCAAUGGACGGAAGUCUGACCGAGCAACGCCGCGUGAGUGAAGAAGGUUUUCGGAUCGUAAAGCUCUGUUGUAAGAGAAGAACGAGCGUGAGAGUGGAAAGUUCACACUGUGACGGUAUCUUACCAGAAAGGGACGGCUAGCUACGUGCCAGCAGCCGCGGUAAUACGUAGGUCCCGAGCGUUGUCCGGAUUUAUUGGGCGUAAAGCGAGCGCAGGCGGUUAGAUAAGUCUGAAGUUAAAGGCUGUGGCUUAACCAUAGUACGCUUUGGAAACUGUUUAACUUGAGUGCAAGAGGGGAGAGUGGAAUUCCAUGUGUAGCGGUGAAAUGCGUAGAUAUAUGGAGGAACACCGGUGGCGAAAGCGGCUCUCUGGCUUGUAACUGACGCUGAGGCUCGAAAGCGUGGGGAGCAAACAGGAUUAGAUACCCUGGUAGUCCACGCCGUAAACGAUGAGUGCUAGGUGUUAGACCCUUUCCGGGGUUUAGUGCCGCAGCUAACGCAUUAAGCACUCCGCCUGGGGAGUACGACCGCAAGGUUG
rnacentral:rRNA from 1 species